GUGAUUGCCCUAGUGGCUUAAAACUAUAUCCAUUUACACCUGUGAACCGUUUGAUUGACACUCUGUGUUGAUUUUACAAACAAUAUGUAAAGAAAGUCAAGUUAUUAUAACAAAAAA
rnacentral:misc_RNA from 1 species